rnacentral:tRNA from 1 species
GGGGAUGUAGCUCAGUUGGCUAGAGCGCUUGGCUGGCAGUCAAGAGGUCGUGGGUUCGAGUCCCAUCUUCUCCA